UACGUAGGGUGCAAGCGUUAAUCGGAAUUACUGGGCGUAAAGCGUGCGCAGGCGGUUGUGCAAGACCGAUGUGAAAUCCCCGGGCUUAACCUGGGAAUGGCAUUGGUGACUGCAAGGCUAGAAUCUGGCAGAGGGGGGUAGAAUUCCACGUGUAGCAGUGAAAUGCGUAGAGAUGUGGAGGAACACCGAUGGCGAAGGCAGCCCCCUGGGUCAAGAUUGACGCUCAUGCACGAAAGCGUGGGGAGCAAACAGG
rnacentral:rRNA from 1 species